rfam:Flavobacterium succinicans strain DD5b FLB_contig000070, whole genome shotgun sequence.
CUCUAGCCCCGACAGUAGCGGCAUCCUUUGCCUUUUUUCUUUAAAAGGGAAAGAUAUAGCGGAUGGCGGGACGAUGC